CCUACGGGUGGCAGCAGUGAGGAAUAUUGGUCAAUGGACGAGAGUCUGAACCAGCCAAGUAGCGUGAAGGAUGACUGCCCUAUGGGUUGUAAACUUCUUUUAUAUGGGAAUAAAACGUUCCACGUGUGGGAUUUUGUAUGUACCAUAUGAAUAAGGAUCGGCUAACUCCGUGCCAGCAGCCGCGGUAAUACGGAGGAUCCGAGCGUUAUCCGGAUUUAUUGGGUUGAAAGGGAGCGUAGGUGGAUUGUUAAGUCAGUUGUGAAAGUUUGCGGCUCAACCGUAAAAUUGCAGUUGAAGCUGGCAGUCUUGAGUACAGUAGAGGUGGGCGGAAUUCGUGGUGUAGCGGUGAAAUGCUUAGAUAUCACGAAGAACUCCGAUUGCGAAGGCAGUUCACUGGACUGCAACUGACACUGAGGCUCGAAAGUGUGGGUAUCAAACAGGAUUAGAUACCCCAGUAGUC
rnacentral:rRNA from 1 species